rnacentral:tRNA from 1 species
UGGGGGAUCGUCCAAUGGCAGGACUGCGGGCUUUGGACCCGCCAAUCUAGGUUCGAAUCCUAGUCCCCCAGCCA